GACGAACGCGGCGGGCGUGCUUAACACAUGCAAGUCGAACGAUGAAGCCUAGCUUGCUAGGUGGAUUAGUGGCGAACGGGUGAGUAAUACGUGAGUAACCUACCUUUAACUCUGGGAUAAGCCUGGGAAACUGGGUCUAAUACCGGAUACGACCAAUCUCCGCAUGGGGUGUUGGUGGAAAGCGUUAUGUAGUGGUUAUAGAUGGGCUCACGGCCUAUCAGCUUGUUGGUGAGGUAACGGCUCACCAAGGCGACGACGGGUAGCCGGCCUGAGAGGGUGACCGGCCACACUGGGACUGAGACACGGCCCAGACUCCUACGGGAGGCAGCAGUGGGGAAUAUUGCACAAUGGGCGCAAGCCUGAUGCAGCGACGCCGCGUGAGGGAUGACGGUCUUCGGGUUGUAAACCUCUGUUAGCAGGGAAGAAGAGAGAUUGACGGUACCUGCAGAGAAAGCGCCGGCUAACUACGUGCCAGCAGCCGCGGUAAUACGUAGGGCGCGAGCGUUGUCCGGAAUUAUUGGGCGUAAAGAGCUUGUAGGCGGUUUGUCGCGUCUGCUGUGAAAGGCCGGGGCUUAACUCCGUGUAUUGCAGUGGGUACGGGCAGACUAGAGUGCAGUAGGGGAGACUGGAAUUCCUGGUGUAGCGGUGGAAUGCGCAGAUAUCAGGAGGAACACCGAUGGCGAAGGCAGGUCUCUGGGCUGUAACUGACGCUGAGAAGCGAAAGCAUGGGGAGCGAACAGG
rnacentral:rRNA from 1 species